rnacentral:rRNA from 1 species
UUUUGACUGUGCAAAGGUAGCAUAAUCAUUAGUUUUUUGAUUGAAAGCUGGAAUGAAAGGUUUGAUGAGAAAAUAACUGUCUCUAUGUAAAUGUAUUAGAAUUUCAAUUUUAAGUGAAAAAGCUUAAAUUUUUUAUAAAGACGAGAAGACCCUAUAGAGUUUUAUAAUUGAUUAAAUAUGGAAGUUAUUGAAUUUAUUUUUUUAUUUUUAUUUAAUUAUUUUGUUGGGGCGAUGGAAAAAUUUGAAAAACUUUUUUUUGUUUGUAACAUUGAUUUAUGAUUAUUUGAUCCUUUUUUUUGGAUUACAAGAUUAAAUUACCUUAGGGAUAACAGCGUAAUUUUUUUUGGAGAGUUCUUAUCGAUUUAAAAGUUUGCGACCUCGAUGUUGGAUUAAAAUUAAAU